rnacentral:rRNA from 1 species
GACAGAGGAUGCAAGCGUUAUCCGGAAUGAUUGGCGUAAAGCGUCUGUAGGUGGCUUUUUAAGUCCGCCGUCAAAUCCCAGGGCUCAACCCUGGACAGGCGGUGGAAACUACCAAGCUGGAGUACGGUAGGGGCAGAGGGAAUUUCCGGUGGAGCGGUGAAAUGCGUAGAGAUCGGAAAGAACACCAACGGCGAAAGCAGCUCUGCUGGGCCGACACGUGACACUGGAGAGACGAAAGCUAGGGGAGCGAACAGGGAUUAGAACCGUACCCGAGUCAAGAUCCAAGAC